GUCCUGUUGUGUUAUUUAAUAGGUCUGGCCUGCCCAGUGAUGAUUUUUAACGGCCGCGGUAUAUUGACCGUGCAAAGGUAGCAUAAUCAUUAGUCUUUUAAUAGGAGGAUGGAAUGAAAGGUUUAACGAGAAAUUUACUGUCUCAAUUAUAAAUUCGAAUUUAUCUUUUAAGUCAAAAGACUUAAAUAUAAUUGAUGGACGAGAAGACCCUAUAGAGCUUAACAGUUUUUUUUUCUAUAUUUAUUUGGUGUAAUUAUUUAUAUAUAUAAAUACAGUUGUUUUGUUGGGGUGACAAAAAAUAUAUAUUUAACUUUUAUCAUAUUAUAUACAUUAAUUUAUGAUUUUUGGAUCCAAAAAUUUUUGAUCAAUAGAUUAAGUUACC
rnacentral:rRNA from 1 species